UACGUAGGGGGCGAGCGUUGUCCGAAGUUACUGGGCGUAAAGCGCGCGUAGGCGGUUCAUUUAGUUCGGGGUGAAAGGUUCAGCGCUCAACGCGAACAGUGCCUUGAAUACUGGUGGACUUGAGUUCGGGAGAGGGCAGUGGAAUUCCUGGUGUAGCGGUGAAAUGCGUAGAUAUCAGGAGGAACACCGAUGGCGAAGGCAGCUGCCUGGCCUAGAACUGACGCUGAGGUGCGAAAGCGUGGGGAGCGAACAGG
rnacentral:rRNA from 1 species